GAUGAACGCUGGCGGCGUGCUUAACACAUGCAAGUCGAACGGGAAACCUUUUAAUGAAGCUUCGGCAGAUUUAGCUGGUUUCUAGUGGCGGCCGGGUGAGUAACGCGUGGGUAACCUGCCUUAUACAGGGGGAUAACAGUCAGAAAUGACUGCUAAUACCGCAUAAGCGCACAGGACCGCAUGGUCCGGUGUGAAAAACUCCGGUGGUAUAAGAUGGACCCGCGUUGGAUUAGCUUGUUGGUGGGGUAACGGCUAACCAAGGCGACGAUCCAUAGCCGGCCUGGGAGGGUGAACGGCCGGAUUGGAACUGAGACACGGCCCAGUCUCCUACGGGAGGCAGCAGUAGGGAAUAUUACACGAUGGGGGAAGCCCUGAUGCAGCGACGCGGCGUGAAGGAAGAAGUAUCUCGGUAUGUAAACUUCUAUCAGCAGAGAAGAUAGUGACGGUACCUGACUAAGAAGCCCCGGCUAACUACGUG
rnacentral:rRNA from 1 species